rnacentral:rRNA from 1 species
CUAACUACGUGCCAGCAGCCGCGGUAAUACGUAGGGUGCAAGCGUUAUCCGGAAUUAUUGGGCGUAAAGGGCUCGUAGGCGGUUCGUCGCGUCCGGUGUGAAAGUCCAUCGCUUAACGGUGGAUCCGCGCCGGGUACGGGCGGGCUUGAGUGCGGUAGGGGAGACUGGAAUUCCCGGUGUAACGGUGGAAUGUGUAGAUAUCGGGAAGAACACCAAUGGCGAAGGCAGGUCUCUGGGCCGUUACUGACGCUGAGGAGCGAAAGCGUGGGGAGCGAACAGGAUUAGAUACCCUGGUAGUCCACGCCGUAAACGGUGGAUGCUGGAUGUGGGGCCCGUUCCACGGGUUCCGUGUCGGAGCUAACGCGUUAAGCAUCCCGCCUGGGGAGUACGGCCGCAAGGCUAAAACUCAAAGAAAUUGACGGGGGCCCGCACAAGCGGCGGAGCAUGCGGAUUAAUUCGAUGCAACGCGAAGAACCUUACCUGGGCUUGACAUGUUCCCGACGGUCGUAGAGAUACGGCUUCCCUUCGGGGCGGGUUCACAGGUGGUGCAUGGUCGUCGUCAGCUCGUGUCGUGAGAUGUUGGGUUAAGUCCCGCAACGAGCGCAACCCUCGCCCCGUGUUGCCAGCGGAUUAUGCCGGGAACUCACGGGGGACCGCCGGGGUUAACUCGGAGGAAGGUGGGGAUGACGUCAGAUCAUCAUGCCCCUUACGUCCAGGGCUUCACGCAUGCUACAAUGGCCGGUACAACGGGAUGCGACGCGGCGACGCGGAGCGGAUCCCUGAAAACCGGUCUCAGUUCGGAUCGCAGUCUGCAACUCGACUGCGUGAAGGCGGAGUCGCUAGUAAUCGCGAAUCAGCAACGUCGCGGUGAAUGCGUUCCCGGGCCUUGUACACACCGCCCGUCAAGUCAUGAAAGUGGGCAGCACCCGAAGCCGGUGGCCUAACCCCU